rnacentral:rRNA from 1 species
UACGUAGGGCGCGAGCGUUGUCCGGAAUUACUGGGCGUAAAGCGUGCGUAGGCGGUUCGUUAAGUCUGUUGUGAAAGCCCCGGGCUCAACCUGGGAAUGGCAAUGGAUACUGGCGAGCUAGAGUGUGUCAGAGGAUGGUGGAAUUCCCGGUGUAGCGGUGAAAUGCGUAGAGAUCGGGAGGAACAUCAGUGGCGAAGGCGGCCAUCUGGGACAACACUGACGCUGAGGCACGAAAGCGUGGGGAGCAAACAGG